CGCCUGAUUUUGCACAAUGCUGCAUAUGGAGGUGCUUUUUGGCCAGGGUGCAUGUGGUGCUAGCUAAUCUCUAGCCAUCCAAAAACUACAUUGCGGUCCACUGGAUGGACUGGGAAAUUGCUAGGUUUGGCCGAGUAUGGACUGAGGGGUCUCUCUUGCAGGUAUGCUGUGGUUUCUUUAAAGCUUCUCUAUGUUUUCACAAUGCAAAAUUCUGCUUAUGAUUGUAUGAGAUGGGAGCUUGUUCUAUAGAUUUAUAAUAGAUGCUGUAUUAUCUUUCAAAAGAAUGUGGUCCCGACCCAAUUGAGGAAGUUAUGCCCAAAGUGUAGUUAGCAUAGUGUCCCAGUGGGAAUCAGAAGUUUAACUGGCAAUGGUAUCAUCUCUCCUUGAUAGGGGCAAUAGUAAUGGAUAGAUGAUUGAAAGGAGAAAUAAAGUCAACCAUAUAGGAUACUGAAUCUGCUAAGGCAUCUAGAAGACAGCUGAAAGAGACAAUCUACUCAGUGCUGUUUGAUAUGAAUGUUCUUGCUGUUUGUGCCAUCAAUCCGGCAUACACAAACAAGCUGUAGAACAAGUUUUCACGUUUGGAAGAAGAGAAUGAAAGGCUCAAGAUGUAGAAGGUCGGCAUUUCAUCUCUCCUUGGGAAUUUUUUUUUUUUCUAAAUGGGAUUGCAGGACCAUGCAGGGUUGGUUGUAUCUAAGUUUUGGUCGGAUAUUGCCUGAGAAUUAGAUCGUGUUUGUUUUCCUUUCGGUUACAUAUUAAGGCAUCUUAUGUUAAAAAAGCUAGGAUUCAGUGGCCUUAUUG